CGUAGGUAACCUGCCUGGUAGCGGGGGAGUAACAUUGAACGAUAGCUAAUACCGCAUAAUAGCAGUUAUUGCAUGAUAACUGUUUGAAAGGUGCAAUUGCAUCACUACCAGAUGGACCUGCGUUGUAUUAGCUAGUUGGUGGGGUAACGGCUCACCAAGGCGACGAUACAUAGCCGACCUGAGAGGGUGAUCGGCCACACUGGGACUGAGACACGGCCCAG
rnacentral:rRNA from 1 species